rnacentral:rRNA from 1 species
UACAGAGGGUGCAAGCGUUAAUCGGAGUUACUGGGCGUAAAGGGCGCGUAGGCGGUCUUACAAGUGAGAUGUGAAAUCCCCGGGCUUAACCUGGGAACUGCAUCUUAAACUGUAAGGCUGGAGUACUGUAGAGGAUAGUGGAAUUUCCGGUGUAGCGGUGAAAUGCGUAGAGAUCGGAAGGAACACCAGUGGCGAAGGCGACUGUCUGGACAGAUACUGACGCUGAGGCGCGAAAGCCAGGGGAGCAAACGGG